AUACGUAAUGUGAAUUGCAGAAUUCAGUGAAUCAUCGAAUCUUUGAACGCACCUUGCGCCCCUUGGUAUUCCGAGGGGCACACCCGUUUGAGUGUCGUGA
rnacentral:rRNA from 1 species